AAUUUCUCCCAGGAAGCAUUACAUUUAUAAAAAAAAAUGUUUGUACUGUAAAAUUCAGAAUUGUGCCCUUUUCAACAAAAUCAUACUUAGCUCAUCGAAUUAGGGUUAUUUGGAAAUUCUAUUCAUUGACUACAAAACACUGUAAUAAGAAUGAUUGAUUUCUUGGCGGAUAUAGGAGCAUGGCCAUGACAUAUGUUUAUAAUAGUUUAAAAAACCUGAGUCAUUGGUCAAAUUUUGAAGCCAAUUGAAGUCUUAUGCACAAUCAUAAACCUUGAAUGUGUUUAUUUUAGUACAUACAUGUUUUGUAAUGAUGUCUGGUGCACAUGUCUUGUUGUUAUUUAUUUCUCUAUUUAUUUCAUGUGAGAUAACUUCUCGGGUAGCUGGCAGAAGGGCGUUAGCAUUCAGAGUGCUACAUAUUUCCCAAAAGCUAUGACUGGGGGUAAAAAUGAUGAAACACCAGGAACGUCACAGCGUGACGGACAUGUAUGCUAGACCAAUAGGCACCCUCAGCAAA